GAUGAACGCUGGCGGAAUGCUUAACACAUGCAAGUCGAACUGAAUGUGGGUUUUUAACUUGGGUUUUGGUGUCGGGCAGGUGAGUAACGCAUAAAGAACUCGCCUCCCAGCUUUUGGCAACAUUUGAAAACAAAGGCUAAUACCUAAUAUUAUGAUACUUGCUCCUCGUUUAAUGAUGGAAACUUUCGGCGCUGGGGGAUGGAUUCGCGUCUCAUCAGCUUGUUGGUGGGGUAGCGGCUCACCAAGGCGUUGACGGGUAGCCGGCCUGAGAGGGUGACCGGGGACAUUGGGACUGAGAUACGGCCCAGUCUCCUACGGGAGAGAGCGGUGUGGAAUAUUGCGCAAUGGGCGGAGGCCGGAUGCAGCAGCGCUGCGGGGGGGAUGACGGCGUUCUGGUUGAAGACCGCUUUCGUCUGUGACGAAGCGUGAGUGACGGUAAUGAAUAGAAAAGCACCGGCUAACUACGUG
rnacentral:rRNA from 1 species